GAUGAACGCUGGCGGCGUGCUUAACACAUGCAAGUCGAACGAAGAUGCCGGAGUGCUUGCACUUUGGCAGACUGAGUGGCGGACGGGUGAGUAACGCGUGGGUAACCUGCCUUAUACAGGGGGAUAACAGUUGGAAACGACUGCUAAUACCGCAUAAGCGCACGGUAUCGCAUGAUACAGUGUGAAAAACUCCGGUGGUAUAAGAUGGACCCGCGUCUGAUUAGCUUGUUGGUGAGGUAACGGCCCACCAAGGCGACGAUCAGUAGCCGGCCUGAGAGGGUGAACGGCCACAUUGGGACUGAGACACGGCCCAAACUCCUACGGGAGGCAGCAGUGGGGAAUAUUGCACAAUGGGGGGAAACCCUGAUGCAGCGACGCCGCGUGAGUGAUGAAGUAUUUCGGUAUGUAAAACUCUAUCAGCAGGGAAGAUAAUGACGGUACCUGACUAAGAAGCACCGGCUAAAUACGUGCCAGCAGCCG
rnacentral:rRNA from 1 species